AUGGGAGCUUGCUCCCUGAUGUUAGCGGCGGACGGGUGAGUAACACGUGGGUAACCUGCCUGUAAGACUGGGAUAACUCCGGGAAACCGGGGCUAAUACCGGAUGGUUGUUUGAACCGCAUGGUUCAGACAUAAAAGGUGGCUUCGGCUACCACUUACAGAUGGACCCGCGGCGCAUUAGCUAGUUGGUGAGGUAACGGCUCACCAAGGCAACGAUGCGUAGCCGACCUGAGAGGGUGAUCGGCCACACUGGGACUGAGACACGGCCCAGACUCCUACGGGAGGCAGCAGUAGGGAAUCUUCCGCAAUGGACGAAAGUCUGACGGAGCAACGCCGCGUGAGUGAUGAAGGUUUUCGGAUCGUAAAGCUCUGUUGUUAGGGAAGAACAAGUGCCGUUCAAAUAGGGCGGCACCUUGACGGUACCUAACCAGAAAGCCACGGCUAACUACGUGCCAGCAGCCGCGGUAAUACGUAGGUGGCAAGCGUUGUCCGGAAUUAUUGGGCGUAAAGGGCUCGCAGGCGGUUUCUUAAGUCUGAUGUGAAAGCCCCCGGCUCAACCGGGGAGGGUCAUUGGAAACUGGGGAACUUGAGUGCAGAAGAGGAGAGUGGAAUUCCACGUGUAGCGGUGAAAUGCGUAGAGAUGUGGAGGAACACCAGUGGCGAAGGCGACUCUCUGGUCUGUAACUGACGCUGAGGAGCGAAAGCGUGGGGAGCGAACAGGAUUAGAUACCCUGGUAGUCCACGCCGUAAACGAUGAGUGCUAAGUGUUAGGGGGUUUCCGCCCCUUAGUGCUGCAGCUAACGCAUUAAGCACUCCGCCUGGGGAGUACGGUCGCAAGACUGAAACUCAAAGGAAUUGACGGGGGCCCGCACAAGCGGGGGAGCAUGUGGGUUAAUUCCAAAGAACGCGAAAAACCUUUCCCGGGUUGGAAUCCUCU
rnacentral:rRNA from 1 species